rnacentral:lncRNA from 1 species
GAAACAAGCUGCCUUUUGGCUGCGACUGUGAUGCCGCUGACUCCCCAAUAGCUGUUUUCCUAGAAGUGAAAGUGGAUUUGCUCUGAGUUCCGUCGUCCCUUGUGACCCAGGGCUCACUGAGGAAGCAGCGCCAAGGGCACAGGACUGACCACCAAAAGGAGCCCCGCCAACCCGUCCUCAAGGGCACUUGGACUUGAUGCUGGCCUUGAGCCCCAGUGUGCACCCCCCCACUCCCCCGCCAGCCUGCAUCCAUGGAGUCUGAGCAGGGCCCACAGCUGUUGUGCCUCAGCAUGGAGCCAAGAGCUGAAAACAAAACAAAACCUCUGGAGGAAGAAGACAUGUUCUCUGGAUGCGGAAUGGGAGACCUUGGGGAGGUAUGCGUGUGCGGGGGAGGCCUCUGACUUGGGCCCAGGCAAAGGUCACGGUCAAUGGGAAAGCCCUGGAUGGGAGAGAGUCUAAGAUGGAGCCCAAGAAUGCCAUCAAGCAGCUGCCCAGGAUGGACGGGGACCCUCCGCCAGACGGGGCCAGUUCUCCUGAUGUAAGGCUAACAGGCUGACAUCCUGGGAUGCAGAGCUCCCAAGGAGCGGACCGUGAUGCCCGAGGGAGCUCCAGUCGCCGGUGUCCUGUGUGGUCUCGCUGAGGGAAGCCAGGCAAAAAUCUGGCAACUGAGCUGUAACGGCCAGGCUCUUGGCUCCGAGCAACAGGAAGCAAUUCUGGUUUAUUUCAGCAGAAAAGGACUUUAUCAAAAGGGUCUCGGGGAGGUCACAAAAUAACCAGGAGGGCUGGAGGACUGGGUUUGGAAAGCGAGCCAAGCAAAGGAGGCUGCGCCGCCGUCAGGACCACGGCCAAAGUCAGGCCACUCCAGUGAGAGCCCCACCGCCAAGUCCAGGACCCCUCGGCUUACGCUGCCACCUCUGGACAUGGAUGUGGUCCCUGCCAGCCCAGGAAUGGAAUGUCAUUGCCGUGGUGACUGCCGCCCUCCACCAGAACGGACCUCUGUGCGCCCUGCAUCUCUGCAUCACCAGCUCCUGACUCUGAGUCUUUGAUGGGGCAUCUGAUUGGCUGAGUGUGAGUCAGGAGCCCACGCGAACUGCAGUGGCGGCCGGGAAAGUGACAAGUGAUUGGAUAGAGUUCCUUGCGCUCGACAGCAGUUACAAAGAACAUUUUCCUCAUUUAACGGCUGAAGCAAAUGAAGAUCAGAGGGGCUCAGUCCCUGGACCAGGAUCGUGCGGCCCGCGGGGACUCAAGAAACCAGCUCCAUCUCUACCCUGCUUCCUGCACCUGGUGGGGGACGAGUGCUUCUCCGCCCUUCAGGAAACAGCCCACUUGUCAGCAGCUGGGCUCCCGGGAACAAAGGCCUAGGUUCAUUACCACGGAAUCGACCCUGACACGUUGCACGAGGGCCACCUCCCCCAGAGUUCCUCAAUUCACACCCCAAAUGAAGCGUAAUUGGACCUGGACAUCUUUGAAGUCCCCGAGCAGCUUGCCAGCAUUUUGAAAUGUCCUUGAUUUGCAUGGUGAAAACCCGGCUGGAGGUGACUUUUUCUUUCCCCUCGUCCCACGGUUUUAAAGACAGUGUGAUUUUUAAAUGACAUUCCGCAGCCAGGAAGAGUUACCAUGGAAGAAAUAAAAACGCUUCACGCCAGAAAAGAAAAGGCAACUGAAGUCCGGGGAUCUCACGAAUCUCUCAUUUGCCUCUUGGCUCGGGUUUUGUUCUGUGCGGGCCAACGUUCCAGGCUGCGGUUUCCUCUCAGGCUUCUCCCCAGGUCCCCGACCUGGGGGCAUGACAAGGAGCCAGGACCUGGAGCUUCCGAAGGCCAGCAGGUCGCCGUCAGACCUGAAGCCAGAAAACCAGCCCCGCCACCGGCUGGUGUCAAAGAGGUGGCAGAGCUGGGCGUGGAAUGCAGGUAUCCUAACUCCCAGCUGAGUCUUCUGACAAACUUGCCUGCUUCCUCGUCUCACAGCUCCCUGAACAGCCACUUGUAUUGAGUCACGUUUUUUCAAAAGCACAUUUGGAAGAGUGGCCCCUCUGUGCAGAAGAACAGCCACCGAGAGGAAGAACAGCCAAGAUGGACGGGUUGAAAAGGGCCGCGUCUUCCAGCGCCCUCCACAUCUGUCUCUCAUCUCAGGACUCCGAUGGUCCCCACUGGCCUUUUCCAUGAUGUCUGGAGUUGUCAAAUGUGUCGAAAAGCAGAGAGAUCCGUGGAGGAAAAUCCGGGGAAGAUUUUCGCCUGGAAAUCUCCUGGGUUCUCGGGGACCUGUCCUAGAGGAAGUGAGUAGGUAGAAACGUAUCCUGUUGGCCCUGGAAGGGAUCUUGGAGGACACCUAGCCCAGCCCGGGGAGCUGAAAGGCAGGAUCACCUGGUGGUGGGGAGCACCCAUGUAGAGCCAGACAGCCCCAGGUUGAAGCACUUCUCCGGCACUUAACUAGCUGCGUGGCCUUGGGCAAGUUUGCUAACCUCUGCCUCGGUUUCCUCAUCUGUCAAAUGGGGCUAGUGAUCACUGUCCCGAUUACUGUAGCGGGGAUGAAGGGAAUGGACAUACAUCGAGCACGAGGAACAACGCAGAGCAGACGGGAAGUGUUUGGUAAGAGGAAGAAAUGAGGCUCAGAGAGAAGCAACCUCCCCACGGUCACUCAGGGAGUUGUCAAGCCGAGCUGGACUCGGAGAACAAGAGGAGAGGUUAUGACUCUUGGAAAUCCUGACUAAUAACUGUGUCUUUGCCUGCGUUACAUCAUCCUCGCUCAACACUUGGAGACGGCCCGAGCGCGGAAGGCAGCCCGGCACAUUCUAGUCUAGGCGCGUUGUCGACAGUGGCCCUCCUGGUCAUUAGUUUGGGGCUGGCUGGUCUCUGGGGCUCCUGUUGGCACUAAGGUUUUAUCAUUUGAAAUUAGGGUCUGUAGCUUCCAUUCAGGUCAAGUCUGUCUUUUCCUGCAACAUUCUCUUCACUGCCCCCCAACCACCCCCACCACCUCCAGCCAUUUCCCUCUGACAUUUUGCCCAACUGUAUCCUGAGGGCAUCUAUAUCCUUCUUUCCACCUCCCACCCCACCCCCCAUUGGCCCCUCUCCCCUCGCCCUCCCUCCCCCACUAGAACAAUCAUGGGCUUCCACUGGCCCACACCUGAGCCUUCGGAUGCCAAGUUUAAGUUGAUUAGACAUUGUCCUGUAGAUACCUUGAAAAUAGGGACUUGAUUUCUUCCUUGCCAUGACCCACUUUAAGAGCCUAACAGAGCGCCCUUGGCAGAGUGGCUUAUGCAUUAUGAUUUGUUGACUGGCUCUAGCUCUAAAAGAGUUGGGAUAUUGGAGAAAAUCUUGUCUUAUCAAGGCUCCCACUAGUAUAUUCAGUACAGCUGUCAUAGCUGUCCUUUGUUCCAGAGGAAGCCAAUAUGAUCAGACUUCAAAGCUUGAUGAAAAUGGUAUUUUAGAACUCUUAACAUUUCAAACUUGAAGAUUUCAGCCUGGAACGCAAGAAUGUAAGAUACUUCCUUUGCUGCCUCCCCCCCUUCCCUAACCCCAUCCCACAUUCCUUUUCCCUCAAAUGAAAGCCUGAGUCAACUGUUAGGUUGCCACCUGUUGGUGAAAUGAGGCAUUGCAUCCCAGCUCUACAAGUCGUUGUAAAUGCCUGGUGGGGAAGUGAAUGGAGAUUGAAAUGGUGGGGAAUGAAAUUGUAGUCAAGUGGGGCCCAAAGAAAUACCUUUUGGAUUACAUGGAUCCUGGGGGAAUGGUGAGGGCUAAUAGCAGAGGGGAAUCCUGGAGUAAGAGAGACACUACUAAGCACUCCAAGGGCUUAUAGAGGAAAAGUAAACACUAAUUUCUGUAAGACCUAAUAAUAUUUCUAGUGUAUUUAUAACAAGGCCCCACAUACCACUGGGCUGACCACCAUUGUAAUCCUGCCUUUCUCAAACCUUUGCCUUUAGUCCAAGUUGUUGGAGCCCAAAUUAAAACUACAUUGAUGAGCCAAGAAAAAUGAGGUUUCACUAUAUAAUGGGGAUGGAUAGCAUUUUUAAAAAGAUGGCUGCAACAGCAACUCACAUGUUUUUCUGCCGAGUGACCUGUAACUCCCCCAUCAAGUAGAGAGGUGGGUUUCUUUACCCAUUUGAACCCAGGUGGGUCAUGUGACUGCUUUGACUGAUAGAACGAGGUGGAAGUGAUGCUGUAUGCUUUUUCAGGACGAGGUUACAGAAAGCCUUGAAGCUUCCUGAGCCUACUAGAAUGCUCAGUUUAGGGACAGUCCCCUUUGGAACCUAGCCACCAUGCUGGGAGAAGCCCAAACGACAAUGGACAGGCCACGUUUAAGCACUCCAGUUGAAACCCCAGGUAAGUUCCAACCAGCAGCUGAUAUUAACUGUCAGCCCCACGUGUGUGCCAUUUUGGAUGGCCAGCUGGGUGAAGCUGUCAGAGGACUCCAGCCCCAGCCAACACCUGACUGCUGCUGCGUGAGGAACCCAGAGUAACGCCCCCCGCCCCCAGGCCGAGCCCAGUCAACUCUCAAACCUGUGAGAGAUAAUAUGUUCUUGUACUAAAGCCACUAGGUUUGGGGGCAGCAUGUGACAAUAGGUAACAAGGACAGUAGCGACUGUGGUUAGACACAUAAACCAUAGGGUGACACACAAUUACGUAUAGUUUUUCAAUCCUGGAUGCAGCUUUAGGGCAAUGAGUCCCUAACAUCAGAGAGCAGUGCUGCUUCAGCUCACAUCUGCUGCCUCCGAUCAAAACACUCUUGCACUUCCUGAGAGAGAGAGAGAGGCACUUCCUGCCAGGUGUCCCCCUGUGCCCUCAUCUGUGUGACUGUGGUGUGCAGUGUCUUUCACACAUUCUAGCAUGACCCUUGGUGCCUUAUUUGCAGGCCAAGGGAUAGAACCCCUGGUCUUGCCUCCAGAAGGUUCUGUGGAUGGGAUUGUGCCAUACAGGGUAAGACUCCACCCAUAUAUUUCCUUCUACUCAACUUCAGCGAUGGAUAAUUUACAUAAAAUAAAAUAGACCCAUGUAAGGGUACAGAUUGAUGAGAUUUGACAAACGUCACCCGUGUGACCACCACCCACGUAACCACCGCCACAGUCAAAGUCUAAAACAUUUUCAUCACUCCAGAGUUUCCUUGUGCCCCCUUUGCAGUCAGUCUCCUCCUCCCGCCCCCAGCUCCAGGCGAACACUGAUUUGCUUUGCCAUUGUAGAUCAAUGUUUGUCUUUUCUGGUAUUUUCCAUUAAUGGAAUCAUAUAGGAUGGAUGUGCUCUUGUGUGACUGCAUACUAUUUUGUUCAGCAUAAUAUUUUUGAGGUUCAUCCAAGCUGUGCGUACCUUUACUUAAUUCCUUUUUAUUAUCAUUUUUAUUUUCAUUUUAUUAUGUAUUUAUUAUUCAUUUUAUUAUCAUUGUAUGGAUAUGUCACCAUCUAUUUAUUCUCCUGCUGAUGGGCAUUUGUGUCAUUUAUAUGUGGGGCUAUUGUGAAUAACAGUGCUAUAAGUGUUCCUCUACAAGGAUUUGUGGUCAUAUGUUUUCCUUUCUCCUGGGUAAAUAUCGAAGAGUGCUAACACAAGCUUAUAAGUGUUAUAUUUAACUUUAUAGGAAAUUGAUAUUGUUUUACAUGCUCACCAGCAAAGUAUGAGAGUUCCGGUUGCUUCAUAUUCUUAUCAUCACUCAACAUUGUCAGCCUUUUCACUUGUAGCAUCUCUGGUGAGUGUAAUGUUACUUCAUUUGCUCACAAGUUUGUUGGUUGGUUGAUUUUUUAUGGCUGCACCUGUGGCAUAUGGAAAUUCCUGGGCUAGAGACUGGAUCCAAGCUGCGGCUGUGACCUACGCCACAGCUGCAGCAAUAUAGGAUCCUUUAACCCACGGUGCCAGGCUAGGGAUGGAAUCCGAGCCUCCACAGCCACCCGAGCAGUUGCAGCCAGAUUCUGAACUCACUGUGCCACAGUGGGAACUCCUGUCCACAGGUUUUUAACUGUCUCCUCCAUUAGGAUGUGAGCAGGGACUUGUUUUGUCACUGCUACAUCCCCUAGCACCUGGAAUGGUGCCAACACCUGGAACAACCUCCAGCCCCUGGAAGAGCAUGCAAUAAAUAUUUUUGGAAUGAU